UAUCCCGCGAGGGCGUGUGGGGAGGAAGCCGUAGCCGAACUGCAGCACCGAACGUAAGUGAACCCUCAAACGGGCUUCUCGGACCUGGGUUAGCGUGCCUUCCAGCGCGACGCCCGAUAUCCGUUGGUGGCCGAGGAGUAGUGAGGGCGGAGGCGGCAGGACAUUGUUCGAU
rnacentral:ncRNA from 2 species